rnacentral:rRNA from 1 species
UACGGAGGGUGCGAGCGUUGUCCGGAAUCACUGGGCGUAAAGGGCGCGUAGGCGGCCUGAUAAGUAGGGGGUGAAAUCCUGCGGCUUAACCGCAGGGCUGCCUUCUAAACUGUCAGGCUUGAGCACAGUAGAGGCAGGUGGAAUUCCCGGUGUAGCGGUGAAAUGCGUAGAUAUUGGGAGGAACACCAGUGGCGAAGGCGCUACCUGGACCGGUUCUGACGCUGAUGCGCGAAAGCGUGGGUAGCAAACAGG